rnacentral:rRNA from 1 species
UACGUAGGGGGGCAAGCGUUGUCCGGAUUUAUUGGGCGUAAAGAGCGUGUAGGCGGCUAGAUAGGUCCGUUGUGAAAACUCGAGGCUCAACCUCGAGACGUCGAUGGAAACCAUCUGGCUAGAGUCCGGAAGAGGAGAGUGGAAUUCCUGGUGUAGCGGUGAAAUGCGCAGAUAUCAGGAAGAACACCCCGUGGCGAAGGCGGCUCUCUGGUACGUGACUGACGCUGAGACGCGAAAGCGUGGGGAGCAAACAGG